AUUGAACGCUGGCGGCAGGCCUAACACAUGCAAGUCGAGCGGAUGAAGGGAGCUUGCUCCUGGAUUCAGCGGCGGACGGGUGAGUAAUGCCUAGGAAUCUGCCUGGUAGUGGGGGAUAACGUCCGGAAACGGGCGCUAAUACCGCAUACGUCCUGAGGGAGAAAGUGGGGGAUCUUCGGACCUCACGCUAUCAGAUGAGCCUAGGUCGUAUUAGCUAGUUGGUGGGGUAAAGGCCUACCAAGGCGACGAUCCGUAACUGGUCUGAGAGGAUGAUCAGUCACACUGGAACUGAGACACGGUCCAGACUCCUACGGGAGGCAGCAGUGGGGAAUAUUGGACAAUGGGCGAAAGCCUGAUCCAGCCAUGCCGCGUGUGUGAAGAAGGUCUUCGGAUUGUAAAGCACUUUAAGUUGGGAGGAAGGGCAGUAAGUUAAUACCUUGCUGUUUUGACGUUACCAACAGAAUAAGCACCGGCUAACUACGUG
rnacentral:rRNA from 1 species